CUGGCGGCAGGCCUAACACAUGCAAGUCGAGCGCUCACUUCGGUGGGAGCGGCGGACGGGUUAGUAACGCGUGGGAAUAUGCCCGGUACUAAGGAAUAGCCUUUGGAAACGAAGAGUAAUACCUUAUACGCCCUUCGGGGGAAAGAUUUAUCGGUAUCGGAUUAGCCCGCGUAAGAUUAGAUAGUUGGUGGGGUAAUGGCCUACCAAGUCUACGAUCUUUAGCUGGUUUUAGAGGAUGAUCAGCAACACUGGGACUGAGACACGGCCCAGACUCCUACGGGAGGCAGCAGUGGGGAAUCUUAGACAAUGGGCGCAAGCCUGAUCUAGCCAUGCCGCGUGAGUGAAGAAGGCCUUAGGGUCGUAAAACUCUUUCGCCAGAGAUGAUAAUGACAGUAUCUGGUAAAGAAACCCCGGCUAACUCCGUGCCAGCAGCCGCGGUAAUACAGAGGGGGUUAGCGUUGUUCGGAAUUACUGGGCGUAAAGCGCACGUAGGCGGACUGGAAAGUUGGGGGUGAAAUCCCGGGGCUCAACCUCGGAACUGCCUCCAAAACUAUCAGUCUAGAGUUCGAGAGAGGUGAGUGGAAUUCCAAGUGUAGAGGUGAAAUUCGUAGAUAUUUGGAGGAACACCAGUGGCGAAGGCGGCUCACUGGCUCGAUACUGACGCUGAGGUGCGAAAGUGUGGGGAGCAAA
rnacentral:rRNA from 1 species